rnacentral:rRNA from 1 species
UACAGAGGUCUCAACCGUUGUUCGGAUUCAUUGGGCGUAAAGGGUGCGUAGGCGGUCGCGCAAGUCGGAUGUGAAAUCUUGGGGCUCAACCCCGAAACUGCAUUCGAUACUGCGUGGCUCGAGUACUGGAGAGGAGACUGGAAUUUACGGUGUAGCAGUGAAAUGCGUAGAUAUCGUAAGGAAGACCAGUGGCGAAGGCGAGUCUCUGGACAGUUACUGACGCUGAGGCACGAAGGCCAGGGGGAGCAAACGGG